CCUUAGUAACGGCGAGUGAAGCGGCAAAAGCUCAAAUUUGAAAUCUGGUACCUUUCGGUGCCCGAGUUGUAAUUUGGAGAAAGUGAUUCUGGGACUGGCCCUUGCCUAUGUUCCUUGGAACAGGACGUCAUAGAGGGUGAGAACCCCGUGAGGCGAGGUGAUCCAGUUCUUUGUAGAACGCUUUCGAAGAGUCGAGUUGUUUGGGAAUGCAGCUCUAAGUGGGUGGUAAAUUCCAUCUAAAGCUAAAUACAGGCGAGAGACCGAUAGCGAACAAGUACAGUGAUGGAAAGAUGAAAAGAACUUUGAAAAGAGAGUGAAAAAGGACGUGAAAUUGUUGAAAGGGAAGGGCAUUUGAUCAGACAUGGUGUUUUGUGCCCCUCGCUCCUCGUGGGUGGGGGAAUCUCGCAGCUCACUGGGCCAGCAUCAGUUUUGGCGGCAGGAUAAAUCUCUGGGAAUGUGGCUUCUUUCUUCGGGA
rnacentral:rRNA from 1 species